UGUCUCAGUCUGAGGACCAAUGUCUUACAGCCAGAGGACAAACGUCUCACAGCCAGAGGACAAAUGUCUCAGUCUGAGGACAAAUGUCUUACAGCCAGAGGACAAACGUCUCACAGCCAGAGGACAAAUGUCUCAGUCUGAGGACCAAUGUCUUACAGCCAGAGGACAAACGUCUCACAGCCAGAGGACAAAUGUCUCAGUCUGAGGACAAAUGUCUUACAGCUGGAGGACCAAUGUCUUACAGCCAGAGGACAAAUGUCUUAUAGCCAGAGGACAAACGUCUCACAGCCAGAGGACAAACGUCUUACAGCCAGAGGACAAACGUCUUACAGCCAGAGGACAAACGUCUCACAGCCAGAGGAUAAAUGUCUUACAGCCAGAGGACAAACGUCUUACAGUCUGAGGACAAAUGUCUUACAGUCUGAGGACAAACGUCUUACAGGCAGAGGACAGUAGCGAGGACAUGUACAUUAUAGGGAGAAGACAUGUGUCUCAUAGGGAGAGGACAGAUGUCUCGUCAGGAGAGGACAGAUGUCUCAUCGGGAGAGGACAGAUGUCUCAUCGGGAGAGGACAGAUGUCUCAUCGGGAGAGGACAGAUGUCUCAUCGGGAGAGGACAGA